AGUGUGGCACCAACCGCGGCCAGAGAGAGUGCUUGCGUCACCCUGCAAAGUGGAACAGUUCCUUGUGUCGACUCUCUCUCCGCUUCGCUCCCAAGGGUGUUUAAACAGCCAGUGGAGGCCAGCGCAAGAUAGGGAAGAGAUGAAUUGCAUUUGCUAGAGAGAUGGAGCUGUUGCUCCGACUCUUACUGAAUGCAAAUGAAGAGGAGGAGAUGAAGGGGCUUGGUCCUGAGGGACGUGUGUGAGUGUCAGCGCCGCAUCUCAAACCUGACACUUGUGUCAGCAGGAGGAAAAAUCCAAGUCACGUUGAUGAAAUUUUUCACCUCAUAAAAAGAGAAAAGUCUAAAUUGCGCGCGGAAAAAGACACUGUGUGGCGAGUGACGGCGGUAACGCCUGUGUUGCUCUCAAGUCUUGAAGCGGUGUGUACGCAGACCUUUGUAUUAAGAAUAUAAUAGUAAUGAGUUUAAGAAAUUACUAACCCUGAAAUUUUUCUUUUGUGAACACCGGCGUUGUGUGAACUGAGAAGGAGUCUUGAGUCGCAACAAGGCAUGACAAGAACGACAAUAGCCAAACCAUCCUCAGGAGACAAUACAGAUGAUGGAAUGCUCGUCCGCGCUUCCCCCAGCCGUAAUGAGUCCUGGACAAUGGAUGUUUCCGUCGUUAAUGAUGGUUCAGCGUGUGUAAGGAGCUUCUGGCAGCUGGGUAAUGACAGGGAGCUCUUGUAAGGACCCUCAGACUGCUGGCUAGGAAAAGAUGCUUUGCGGUGGAAGAAGCUUUCCAAUGGCUUGAUGCGGCAGGAAAAUUAGGACUCUAAUUGUUCGAACCUGUUGUUUUCCAUUUCAUAUUAAAAUGCAUCUUUGAAGUCCUGUGUCGAAAAUUCUGCACAUGUGACAUGUAGAUGUAUAUGUAAGCGAUGAACUCGUGACCAUUGUUGUCUUUGGCCUUUACUUCAGCAGCUGCGACAGGUGUGUCCAGCCACUUGGCGACGGUACAGGUGAGGGAAGGAACAGUCCUGCUUGUGACCACAGGUGUACCUUCAUAUAGAGCAUUCCCAGUUAUUUGAGAAUUCAGUUGAUGUUUCUGCCAUCUUCGGGCAGACAGCGUUGCUUCCGCCGCCUGAAGAUGAUCCUGAGAUCGUUCGCCCUAGCGCUGUCUUCAAGCGAACCAUCCCUCGGAGUUGGCUCCCUUGUUUAUCUUCCAUUGUCUCCCCUGGACUAAGAAUAAUUCAGCCUUUGCUUAUCCUUCAAAGAUAGGAAGAAUCGUUGCUGUCGCGUCUUCGGUCCUUGCAGCGUAGGAUUCCAGCGAGUCUGAGGAUGGUCCUCAUCUCUCUCAUCCUGCUGGUGGUGGUGGCGGUGUUGGUCAUCGGAGGACUUUGUCUCUGCUACUUCUUCUCCAUCAGAGCGAUGUGGAGGGGCGGAGGAAGGCAGCCGGUGGCCCAUCCGGAGAUCACCUGAGAGUUAGCUGCGUCGUCUUGGGACACCUAACGAUUAGUCAACGAAGUAUUGUACCAUCCACCGUCUUGUGAUCAGCUAAAAAGCCGCCGGUAAAUGUUGAACCAUAUCGCUGGAACGUCAAGGCGAUUGGUAAACCACAGCGAAGUUUAGUUGACAUUUAGCUAUAGAACUAAUCCAACGUUCUGGACUUUUGAGCUAAACUAUCAAUGGCGCAGGGCGACGGCCCAGCCAGCAAUAGUUGAGUGAUGAGUGCUUCGCGACCAAAUCAAAUUCGUGUGCUGGAAAGUGCCACACGAAAUGACACUUCGAGAGAAGGCGGCGUCGGCCGGGCGCGGGACCAGCAUGCGUGACAGGGGUGACUAGCGUAGACAGGAGUCACAGACAAGGUCGAGGAACGUUAAGGUGUGAGUCCUGGUGAACGACCUUGUCUUCCAGAGUAUCCUGGGGGCAUGACAGUGCUGCUGGACAACAGAACAUGGGGAGUCACAGUUGAGUGAUGUAUAUGUGAUUGAACACAUCCAGUGCUCCAGAUAUGUGGGAUGUUUAGACAAAUAAUAUAUAAAUGUGAACGUAUUUAUAUAUGUUUAUAAUGAAGAAAGGUGUUCAUAUAUAUCAUAGUUAAUAUUCCUGAGGUCAAGACUAUUAAGACGCCGGAGGUCAUUACCAGGGAAGAACGAGACGUCGUCGACCCGGCGGAGGUUCGACGCAGGAACGUCAAUGUAAUGGAGAUACGUCGCUGGCCCAUUGGAGCCAAUGUGAAUACACAACAGGAACACAACAGACAUACAACGGGCCCUUGGCGCUUCGCAACGUGUACAUCACGAAGAACCAACAGGAGACUCCAACAGCACCACGCAUCGAGGCAAAUGGACAACAGGAUACGACACAAGAGAAUGAGAUCGGAGCUUCCUUGGGCACAGCGACAACCUUCAUAUUAUCAAUAAAAGUAUAUUUUUCA